rnacentral:lncRNA from 1 species
UUUAUCCAAUAUAAAUUUGUUUUUAUUGAAGCAGCAGUCACAUGACUUUAUAUCUAGCCUUUAGAUUAGGCCUGACGGAGUGAGCCAGCCCUAAAAAAAUGUUUCUUUUUGCACUAAGAGACAUAACAUGUUUACAUACAUCAUCCAGUAUUGGAAAUGAACAGACUCAAACACAACAUGUGUUGGUUUACCUGGGAGGUACAGCCCCACUAUUCGUGGUGUUCAUAUAAUUCACAGAUACUCCCAAAGACCAUUACUAAUGGGAUGAAAGUUGGCUAUACAAUGGAAUAAGAUCAUUUAAGAGAACGAGAACUAGUGUUCAUAUCUUGACUUUUGUUAACAGCUUCGUGUUUCUCUAAUUGGAGGAAUGAAGUGGUGAUGUGACUACAUAAUGCAUUGGCAAAAUAGAUAGGGUGAAGGAAAUAAGGUUGGGUACUGAAAUAAAGACCACACACUUGUGAAUUUUAAUU